CAAUAGCGUAUAUUUAAGUUGCUGCAGUUAAAAAGCUCGUAGUUGGAUUUCGGGUGGGAAUGGCCGGUCCGCCGUUUCGGUGUGCACUUGCUACGCCCACCUUGCUGCCGGGGACGUGCUCUUGAGUUCACGCUCGGGACACGGAGUCGGCGAAGUUACUUUGAGUAAAUUAGAGUGUUCAAAGCAGGCCUACGCUCUGAAUACAUUAGCAUGGAAUAACACGAUAGGACUCUGGCCUAUCUUGUUGGUCUGUAGGACCGGAGUAAUGAUUAAGAGGGACAGUCGGGGGCAUUCGUAUUUCAUUGUCAGAGGUGAAAUUCUUGGAUUUAUGAAAGACGAACUACUGCGAAAGCAUUUGCCAAGGAUGUUUUCAUUAA
rnacentral:rRNA from 1 species